rnacentral:rRNA from 1 species
UACGUAGGCAGCAAGCGUUGUUCGGAAUUACUGGGCGUAAAGAGUGUGUAGGCGGUGUUCUAAGUUUGGUGUGAAAUCUCCCGGCUCAACUGGGAGGGUGCGCCGAAAACUGGAAUGCUAGAGUAUGGGAGAGGUAAGCGGAAUUCCUGGUGUAGCGGUGAAAUGCGUAGAUACCAGGAGGAACACCUGUGGUGUAGACAGCUUACUGGACCAUCACUGACGCUGAGACACGAAAGCGUGGGUAGCAAACAGG